CUUGGGUGUCGGAAUGGGCUAGACAGCAGUUCACCUACGACACAUUCGCCCUCGAAGAAUAGCACUGAACUACGGCAAAUCCUGCCUGUGCCCAUUUUAUUACGGGCGUAGUAUUUUUUAGUCUUUGUGGUUGGUAUGCUCAUUUCGCAAAAGAGAUCUCUCUGGCCUCUGUCCAUGUAUAAGACUAUGGCUUCAUCUUUCACCUUGUGAUGACAGAUUUAGUCGUUCUUUUCCACUUAACAUUACAAACCUGGACCACAGUUUUUUGAACUCUUAUCACAUUUACAUUUUUCCUACUCUCAUCUUUAACGAUUUUGUUUUUAAAGGAAGCUACCCGUGCUGAUGUAGUAAAUGACAGGACAGGAACCAUAACGUGUAUAUAAGAGGACAGAUUAGUGUUGUUUGUUAGUUUCAUUUAAAAGGUUAAUAUUGUACUAAAGCUACAAGAUUACAAACACAGGAAGUAUGUAUAUUAUCAGAUACAUCAAGACUGCUGAAAAUGCUGUGGUCAAGUCUGCAUUUGUUUCCUGGAUUUGUACAACAAUGUAUUGGGGAAUUUAAAAACAAAAUUGGUAGCUAGGAACAAUUUGGGGGGAAAAAAAAGCUUAGGCUUGAAGAGUGAAGACAUCCUUUACUCUUCGGUGACCUUCGCUUUUUAAGGGCAACAUCUCCUCCGUGGUUCCAGCUCCUGCUGAACAGCUUCUCCUUCCACGGUCCAGAUGCAAUCAGUGGCUUUGACGAAGCAAGUUGCCAUUUUGUAAGCCAUCAUACAGAGAGGAUCAUAUGAUAAAAGGGUUAAUGGUAGCUUCUGGCCUACAGCCAAAGAAGAACUGAGUCCUCAGCCUGGCAGCCUGCAAGGAAUUGAAUUCUGCCAAAUACCAUGUUUCAACAGGAAAAAACAAACAACUACCCACAAUCCUGGACAUAGGAUGAACUCUCUAGAGAAGCAAGCGGGUCUGAGCAAUGCUGGGGAUGGACUGUAAUGGAUUUUGCAGUGCAUUGCCCAGAUUGCUCUCUUGGGAGCGAGUCCCUUAUUUCCCAGCUGUCAGAAGCGUUGGCUGCCGACAGCUCACAGCUGAGCCCUUUGCUGAGACUUGUCCUCAGCUGACGACUGCUGCCUGGCUUAUGGUCAUGUCACCUCCCUGAGGUGCAGUUUGCUUCAAGUGACUUAACAUUGCAGUGGUACAAAGACCUAGUCCCCCUAAUGCGCAGGCAACUCCAAGGGCCAGGCCAAUUCCAGAACUCCCUGUGGGUUUGGCUGAUACCCCUGUUUUUAAUUUAUCCUCAGUUCACUUCUCCCUCUAUCUGAUUCUGCUUCUCUGACAUCUUUACAGGUUGUGUUCCUGAGUAUACUUGCUAGUAACCUUCCUGCACACAAGUUUUUGUCUCAGAGCCGGUUUCCUGAGGAACUGAAACCAAGACAGUUAUAAUGAGUAAAGGAUGUAAUCUGUCAUUUCACCUGCUUAAAAUAUUGAUGACAUUAUUUAUGACAUGGUGUCAUGACCCGAAUUUCUCACCUGAAGAUUUUGUUUUAGAAUUAAGUACUUAGGAAGACAUUACUUUCCUGAAAACCCGUUCUCUCCCUUUAUUAAUGAAAACUAGGCAAUUGAUCAUUAUUCCCUUUAUGUUUGGCUACUGAGAGAAUAAACUUGAUAUUUUGUUACAGUCCUUCCCCAAAUUCUGAAAAACUGGUUAAAACACCUGCAGCAAAUGGAAGUCGAUAUCACUUUUGUUACAAUAAUGGUUUAAAGGAAGGAUACAGCUUAAUGUAAAGCUAAGAAAGCUCUCUCCUCUAAACCUCAAAUGCUAGCAAUUGUUUCCAUCCACUCAUUUUAGUACAGGCAGGGCAGUUCUCCCUAUGCAACAGGGAGGAAACUGCAUAGUCCUCGAAGGCUCCUACCUCCUCCUUGGGUGAAAAGAGGAAGGGGAUAUAGGCUAUUGAUACCUGAUUUCUCCUUCCUAACUCAACAAUAAAAUAAGCUGUUGCACUUCACUACUGAUAUUCUAUCAUUGUUGUUCUCCCAGUGAUACAAUGUCGCUGGGCACCAUGAACAAAGAUACCAGUUAGGCAGUUACUGCUAUAGCAACAAGACUCCAUUGAGGGCCUCAGUGGAAACAGUUGGUAUAGAGAAAAGAGGGCCCUUUGGGAAGUUUCAUGCACACGAAAAAAGUGACUGAUCUAACAUGGGUGGGGAAAAUGGAGGUUCCUAAUAGGACCCCAGAUUCUGGAUGGAUAAUGGCUUCAUCGAGAUGGGGAGUCCAGGAAAAGGAGGAGAUUUGGGGAUGGGAGAUGAAGAGUGCUGUUUAUCUUCUCUAACUUGUUUCCUGGUUUGAUAAGAAUUUGAGAAAACGUUUUUAGAGAACAUGAUCACUCCUCCACUUAGACACAUUAUCCACAUACCUCUGCCACUGAUUUUGGAUCCAUCCGGUCUAUUCUCCACACUGUUGUGACCUUUUAAAAUUGUACCAUAUGCAAUGAAAUGUAAUUUGGCAAUAAAAAAGAAUGAAAUACUGAGUCAUGUUGCAACAUGAAUAAACCUUGAAAAUAUGUUGCUAAGGUUGAGGCCAAUCUCUCCCAUUCACUGCAGACCCUGUUGUAGUAGUCUCUAUAUCUAUUGAAAUUGUGUUGAAUAAAGUCUUUCUU